AACAAACAAAAAUUACCAUUAUGCCAGCAUAACCUCGUAUAUCUUUGUAAAUUGCAAGAGGGGUUUUUCCAUACCUACCGGAAUCCCUCUUGUCAAGAAAAUAUAACAAUUUGGUAAAAAUCAUGAGAAAAAACAUUCAAAGACAAACGUAUGACUUGCUAUAAGCUAACAAGCUACUAUAAACUAAACUACAAACUAACCCUGCUGAAGAAUCAUCCAUUGAAUGCUUUAAUUCAUGGCUUUCUGAAUAGCGCUCUUGUUGCUCAGUUACAUCAAAAUCCAUUGUUUUUAUUGUUUCUCUACCUAUGAAACCUGCAAACGGAUACGAGAUUAUUUCCAAAAACACCUCUAGUUUUGAGGUUGGCUUCUGUAGUUUUCAGCUAAAAGGAAUAAACCCUAACUAAACCUUGACGGAUUCCAGCACGUAGCUAGCUUUAGGUAUUCUCUCCACGAGAUGGAUUACUGAGGAAAGGAGUUGAGUAGUGAGUUUUGUGAUUGCAUAAACCCUAGCCCUUUUGCGGUAAAAUGGAAAAU
rnacentral:lncRNA from 1 species